CUACACGACCGUACCGCAAACCGACACUGGUGCGCGAGAUGAGUAUUCUAAGGCGCUUGAGAGAACUCAGGAGAAGGAACUCGGCAAAUUGACACCGUAACUUCGGAAGAAGGUGUGCCUUUAGUAGGUGAACCUGUACAAGGGGAGCCCAAUGAGGUUGCAAAAAAUCGGUGGCUGCGACUGUUUAAUAAAAACACAGCACUCUGCAAACACGAAAGUGGACGUAUAGGGUGUGACGCCUGCCCGGUGCUGGAAGAUUAAAUGAUGGGGUGCAAGCUCUUGAUUGAAGUCCCAGUAAACGGCGGCCGUAACUAUAACGGUCCUAAGGUAGCGAAAUUCCUUGUCGGGUAAGUUCCGACCUGCACGAAUGGCGUAACGAUGGCCACACUGUCUCCUCCUGAGACUCAGCGAAGUUGAAAUGUUUGUGAUGAUGCAAUCUCCCCGCGGAAAGACGGAAAGACCCCGUGAACCUUUACUGUAGCUUUGUAUUGGACUUUGAACAGAUCUGUGUAGGAUAGGUGGGAGGCUUUGAAGUGUGGUCGCUAGAUCGCAUGGAGCCAACGUUGAAAUACCACCCUGGUGUGUUUGAGGUUCUAACCUAGGCCCGUAAUCCGGGUCGGGGACAGUGCAUGGUAGGCAGUUUGACUGGGGCGGUCUCCUCCCAAAGCGUAACGGAGGAGUUCGAAGGUACGCUAGGUACGGUCGGACAUCGUGCUAAUAGUGCAAUGGCAUAAGCGUGCUUAACUGCGAGACUGACAAGUCGAGCAGAUGCGAAAGCAGGACAUAGUGAUCCGGUGGUUCUGUAUGGAAGGGCCAUCGCCCAACGGAUAAAAGGUACUCUGGGGAUAACAGGCUGAUACCGCCCAAGAGUUCAUAUCGACGGCGGUGUUUGGCACCUCGAUGUCGGCUCAUCUCAUCCUGGGGCUGUAGCCGGUCCCAAGGGUAUGGCUGUUCGCCAUUUAAAGAGGUACGUGAGCUGGGUUUAAAACGUCGUGAGACAGUUUGGUCCCUAUCUUCCGUGGGCGCUGCAGAUUUGAGGAAGCCUGCUCCUAGUACGAGAGGACCGGAGUGGACACACCUCUGGUGUAUCGGUUGUCACGCCAGUGGCAUUGCCGAGUAGCUAUGUGUGGAAGAGAUAACCGCUGAAAGCAUCUAAGCGGGAAACUCGUUUCAAGAUGAGAUCUGCCGGGGCCUUGAGCCCCCUAAAGAGUCGUUCAAGACCAGGACGUUGAUAGGUCGGGUGUGGAAGCGCAGUAAUGCGUUAAGCUAACCGAUACUAAUUGCUCGUGCGGCUUGAUC
rnacentral:rRNA from 1 species